GAUGAAGAACGCAGCGAAAUGCGAUAAGUAGUGUGAAUUGCAGAAUUCAGUGAAUCAUCGAAUCUUUGAACGCACAUUGCGCCCCUUGGUAUCCCGAGGGGCAUGCCUGUUCGAGCGUCAUUUCACCACUCAAGCCUGGCUUGGUGUUGGGCGUCUGUCCCGCUGCUUUGCGCGGACUCGCCUCAAAGGUAUUGGCAGCGAUCAUGCCAGCUUCUCGCGCAGCACAUUGCGCUUCUUGAAGUUCUGGUGGAUCAGCGUCCAUUAAGCUUACCUUCAUGACUUGACCUCGGAUCAGGUAGGGAUACCCGCUGAACUUAAGCAUAUCAAUAAGCGGAGGA
rnacentral:misc_RNA from 1 species